AACAGGGAUUGCCUCAGUAGCGGCGAGUGAAGCGGCAAAAGCUCAAAUUUGAAAUCUGGCGUCUUUGGCGUCCGAGUUGUAAUUUGAAGAAGGUAUCUUUGGGCCCGGCUCUUGUCUAUGUUCCUUGGAACAGGACGUCACAGAGGGUGAGAAUCCCGUGCGAUGAGAUGACCCGGGUCUGUGUAAAGUUCCUUCGACGAGUCGAGUUGUUUGGGAAUGCAGCUCUAAGUGGGUGGUAAAUUCCAUCUAAAGCUAAAUAUUGGCGAGAGACCGAUAGCGAACAAGUACAGUGAUGGAAAGAUGAAAAGAACUUUGAAAAGAGAGUGAAAAAGUACGUGAAAUUGUUGAAAGGGAAGGGCUUGAGAUCAGACUUGGUAUUUUGCAUGCUGCUCUCUCGGGGGCGGCCGCUGCGGUUUACCGGGCCAGCAUCGGUUUGGUGCGGCAGGAUAAUGGCGGAGGAAUGUGGCACGGCUUCUGCUUUGUGUUAUAGCCUCUGACGAUACUGCCAGCCUAGACCGAGGACUGCGGUUUUUACCUAGGAUGUUGGCAUAAUGAUCUUAAGUCGC
rnacentral:rRNA from 1 species